UUCAUCUUGUCUUGUAGCAUCGUGCCUUUUUCCAUAAGUGUUAUUUAUGCUGCUCUGGGUUUGUUUCCUGCUUGUGUCUCAUGUGAUACCUCUAGCAGUGCUCUGUAUGCAACAUGGUUACAUCAAUCCCACCUGUACUACUUAUCAGCAUGAGUGAGAUGCUUUAUGCUGUUAUUACUAUGUAUAAAGUCCAAUAUGCCUAUUCUGUGAUAAACACCCAAUAUGUCUCAAAAUAACCAACAAAUCUUAACCAUCGGAAACGUUUUUGUAAACAUAUUAACUCAUUUAAAUUUAAUUUAUAUAUAUAUAUAUAUAUAUAUAUAUAUAUAUAUAUAUAUAUAUAUAUAUAUAUAUAUAUAUAAAUAUAUCAAUUAACUAUGAGGCACACUUUUAUUUAUGGAAAUAAUUUAAAUGAGCGCUGUAUAGCUGGAUAUAAAUCCAAAAUUAUAUUUUCUCUGCUUUAUGUUUACUAAUACUAAAAGAAAUAUACUGUUCAGCAUAAUUUUUCCAAAAUUUCCAAUGACCUCAGAGUUUUGUGUCAAGAGUUGUGGACUUUUUCUGGUGUAAAACAAAAACAUGAUGUCAUUAGAAAAAGCUUUUCAUAAUAUUGGCUUUUCUCCCCUAUGUCAGAAAGUUAACAUUGCAAUAGAGAAAUUAUAAUACUGAACUUUUAGGAAUGUUCUUUUCAUAUCUAAAUAAGCGUUCAUGUUUUUGUGACUGAUUCCACGAAAGGCCACUAGAGGGCUCUCAUAGCCUGUUUUGCGAUUCAUCGUGGUCUUCGCUCACAUGUCAUCGGCAGCUGGAUUUAGACUCGUACUGAAAGCAUUCACUAUGUGUUAACUAUGGGGACUUUUAACUCUUCUGUGUGUGAUGUGCAAGAUCAAAGUAGGCUACUUUGAUGGCAUUCUCUGCAUAACAUGUCAAUAACAAAUAUGACCAAACUCAUUUAGCCUAUUACUGUUUCGGCUUAAUGUCAUAUGUUCAUGCCAUACGCAUCGCUGAAGUCCCCAAACGUACAUCAUUAGCAAAUACUCUCUACACAACAAAAUACAGUGUGACUGUAAACUAUUUUGAAGCACUAUGGUGGGAACAUUUAAGGUAGUUAUUAAAAAUGUCAACUUUAUCAGUUAUUAACGGCUAGGGUUACCUGCCUUGUAUAUUUUAGGCUUACCUGGGGUUAAAGGGCAUGCUGCUGCUGUUUAUUUCUUUGAAUUCUUUUUUAUGUUCUUAAACUUGUAUGGUAGUCAAGAGCAAUCCUAUCCUAAUGUUUAUGGAUAAUUUUAGAUUAGGAAGAAACGUUUCAAAAUUCAGAUCAGAUUAAUGUUGUAACAUUUCUUUAAUUUAUGACGUUUUCAGUAAUCCCGUGCUAACUGAAUAAUCUAAAUAAUUGAUAACUAAAUAAUCUUAAUGACGUAAUCAAUAAUAGAGUCAAACAUGAACAGCAUAUCCCAAACAGUUUGUCUGUGCCACCAUGGUUUGCUGUGCUGCACGGGAUGACUCAGUCGAUCAGGAAAUGGAGUAGAAAUGUAUGAUGAGGAGAAAAAACGGUUCUCUGAAGUUAACAGGAGAAAUUUAACUAACUAAAGACUGCAAAAAUGGAGGUAAUUAUAUUCAAAUACUGCAUUUGCACAUUUUUACAAAGACCACACCUGGGAAGUUUCUUGUUUGGUUCAAUAAAAACCAGGAACGGGGAGAGGCUUGCAAAACCCAGGAAGCGGAGAUCACAUGCUCCAAUAUUAUAUGUAACUAAUCCUUAAAUCCCGCCACCCUGAAAAAAAAUCAUGUUUACAGGUAUUUCUCUCUAAUUCUACAAUGUUGGAUAAAUGAGCAUUAAGACAACGUAAUUUACAAUUUCGUGGUUAAUGUUAGGUGUGGCUAACUUUAUCCAGUACAGUAAAACCUCGAAUUGCACUAAACUGCCCCCCUGCCACGGAUUGUUAGUUACUGUAAUGUAGGGCUGCUUUAUUUGUUUAAUCGUCCAGUCUGUGAAGAGAUUUUUUAGGGUGGCACAUGCCCCUGAGGCUAUCCCAUUAGGGGGCGCGCCCCCCAGUUUGGGAACCACUGCGCUACAGUAAUGCUAUUCUUCUUGACAAUGCUCGUCUGUGCAAGAAGGGACUGAUUUACUUGAAAGACAUUUUUGAUAUGUUGUUGAA